AGGACGAACGCUGGCGGCGUGCUUAACACAUGCAAGUCGAGCGGAAAGGCCCUUCGGGGUACUCGAGCGGCGAACGGGUGAGUAACACGUGAGUAAUCUGCCCCUAGCUCUGGGAUAGCUCCGGGAAACCGGGAUUAAUACCGGAUACGACCACCUUAGACAUCUUUUGUGGUGGAAAGAAUUUCGGCUAGGGAUGAGCUCGCGGCCUAUCAGCUUGUGGUGGGGUAACGCCUACAAGGCGACGACGGGUAGCC
rnacentral:rRNA from 1 species